GGUCCGGUGGCAUAGUGGUAAUGCACUCUGCUCGCGUAGCUGGCAGGAAACUGAAUAAUAGAGGUACCAGGGUUUGAACCUCCAUCGGGCCU